rnacentral:rRNA from 1 species
GACGUCCGCAGGUAGUAACAGGAAAGUUCGGAUCUAUGGGCAUCGGGAUCACGGACGACAGCAGAUGCUUUACACAUGCAAGUCGAACGGCAGCACGGACUUCGGUCUGGUGAUGGCGAGCGGGUGAGUAAUGUAUCGGUUGGUCUGCCCAAAGCUGCGGAGAUAUCAUGCCGCUGGCUGGCUGCCGCCGCCGCCGCGCCGCACUGAGGAGGGCUUUAAAGGGAGGACCUUCGGGCCUCGCCGCUAUUAGAGCGGCCGAUAUCAGGAUUCUUAUCAAUGAUGAUGGGUGGGGUGCGGCUCUGCUGGGUGAUCCGCGGUGGAUCUGAAGACGAUAAUACCGGGACUGCGGGACCUGCUGACCUGUGAAGGCAGCGGUGGGGAGUGCCUGGACCAUUACAGGAAACCUGGUCCGGCAUCCGCGUGAUGACGCGUGAAGGCGCUGGGUUUAUGGACCGGAAAAUGCGUGGGAGUCAUUUGCACUGAUGCAACGCAUUCGCGACCUGCGGAUCGCCUGGCCUAUUCGUGCGCUAAACCGACCAUGACCAGCCAGCAAGGUCGCUGCGUUAAUCGGAAUUACUGGGCGUAAAGAGCGUGCGCAGGCGGUUCGGAAAGAAAGAUGUGAAAUCCCAGAGCAACUUUGGAACUGCAUUUUUAGCUACCGAGCUAGAGUGUCAGAGGGAGGUGGAAUUCACGCAGCAGCAGUGAAAUGCGUAGAUAUGCGGAGGAACACCGAUGGCGAAGGCAGCCUCCUGGGAUAACACUGACGCUCAUGCAUGAAAGCGUGGGGAGCAAACAGGAUUAGAUACCUGGUAGUCCACGCCCCUAAACGAUGUCAACUAGCUGUUGGGGGCCUUCGGGCCUUGGUAGCGCAACUAACGCGUGAAGUUGACCGCCUGGGAAAUUACGGUCGCAAGAUUAAAACUCAAAGGAAUUGACGGGGACCCGCACAAGCGGUGGAUGAUGUGGAUUAAUUCGAUGCAACGCGAAAAACCUACGCAGGCAUGUCUGGAAUCCGAAGAGAUUUGCGGAGUGCUCGCAAGAGAACCGGAACACAGGUGCUGCAUGGCUGUCGUCAGCUCGUGUCGUGAGAUGUUGGGUUAAGUCCCGCAACGACGAGCGCAACCCUUGUCAUUAGAUUGCUACGAAAGGGCACUCUAAUGCGAGACUGCCGGUGACAAACCGGAGGAAGGUGGGGAUGACGUCAAGUCCUCAUGGCCCUUAUGGGUAGGGCUUCACACGUCAUACAAUGGUCAGGACAGAGGGUCGCCAACCCGCGAGGAGACCAAUCCCAGAAACCCGAUCGUAGUCCGGAUCACCAGUCUGCAGCAACUCGACUGCGUGAAGUCGGAAUCGCUAGUAAUCGCGGAUCAGCAUGUCGCGGUGAAUACGUUCCCGGGUCUUGUACACACCGCCCAUCACCAUGGGAGUGGGUUUACCAGAAGUAGUUAGCCUAACCGUAAGGAGGGCGAUUACCACGGUAGGAUUCAUGACUGGGGUGAAGUCGUAACAAGGUAG